GUUUUGUGUGUUUGUCAUUGCAGGAGUGGCAUUUGUUGGAGGAGUUUGUGAAACCUCUCUGCCCAGAGCUCCAGGACCAAUGCAUCUUUCCACCAUCUUAAACCACUGAUUAUAGUCAUUUUGUGGAUUAUGAUAUGAAAUCGUCCUAAAUUUCGGGUACAUUUUGAAUUCUGUACGUCCUCAAACAUCCAGCUGAGGAAUAUUGAAGCUACUGGAGCAGUUCAGAGGCCUGGUUGCAGAGCACUUGUCCUGUCACCACCAUGAGCUCUGGUAAGUCAUUUUAAACCCUGCCUUUCUCUUCUUGACAAAUCUACAAAACUGGGCCAUUUACCCAGAUUUCUCACUCACUCUGGAGGCCCCAGCUGCAUUUUGUUUUUAAUUUUUUGAGUCCUGGGUAAGUGGCAAAGUUUUGUCAUAAAUUGUCAUCAUCACCUUUACUAGUAAUGGUUUACUAAGUACCUACCAUAUGUCAAGAACUACGCUAUAUACUCCACAUGUACCGUGUCCUGAGUUUUAGAGGGGGCUCCUUUUCCCUGUAUUUGACAACUUUAUUGAGAUAUAACUAGUGUACAGUAAACUGGAUAUUUUAAGGGUACAAUUUGAUAAACGUUGCCAUAUGUAUAUACCUUAGUGGCAUCUCUUAAUCUGACUGACUGCAGCAAAGUCAACAGAUUGACCAUAAUUGCCCCAGGAUAUGAACUAAUCUGUCACUUCCUUUCUCAGGACAAAAUCAUCCUUUUGCUAUGCCUUUGGUGGUAAAAAUCAAGACCUAAACAAGUGAUCAGUUGAGUAUUUUUAGUCUAGAGCUGGGGUGGAAAGCCCAGGCUAGGGGAGACAGAAAGGGGGAUAGGUCCCAAGAGCUGGCAGCUUACCAGCCCAGAAUUCAAGGCAGAGGAGUUUCCACCUGGAGAUGAAGUCACACCUUGGCUACUGAGCGUGUCCUGGAACCUCCCAAGACCCUCAGGCUGGGUGGGCCAGGGGGUGACCAAGGGGUUAGUUCAUUCAGGGGUCUCUGAAUCCUGCAUUGUCUCCGAAGUGUAUUCAGAGACCUCUGUAGAUUGAAAACAAGCCGUUCCCUUUCAGUGCCCUUUUAGCCAAAUCCACAACGUGUGGGGCUGUGUGUGCUUAGGACGGGGAGGCCAGAUCAGCUCAGGGCUGCGUACUGAGUAUGCGAGUGGAGGGCCCUUCUCCACACUCUCCUCUAUAAGAUGGGCGUCGCAGAAGCCCCCAUUCAUUGGGAUUUUGUGAGGAUGAAGUGAGGCAGUGCUUCUGCAGUACUGAGCACUGUGCCCAAGGCCCGGCCGGUGUCCAUCCGUGGGCUCUAUCAGCUCAGGCUCCCUCCAUGCAGGAGAGGAAUGCGGCUCGUCCCUGCGCCUGUGGUGCCUCUGCUGUGCGGGGGGAGGCCUCCCCUCCAGGUGCACUUGGCCCUGCCAGCGGCUCCUGCUUUGUAACUCAUUUUUUUCUCCUUUUUUGGCGUUUUGUUUUUGGUGUCAUUUAAAACAGACUAGGGCUUUUCCUUUCUUUCUUUUGAGACUUAAGCUCUGCAGACUCAAAUUUCUUCUAAGAUCAGAUUUAGCCUAAACGGGCAUCACCACUCCUGGGGCAUCACCACUCCUGGCACGAAUAAGGGUGGAAGAAGCAGAUAGGGAGGGGCCGGCCGGAGGGCGAGGGUGUGGAAAUGCCUGCGGGACUCCUCCCCAGGGUCUCACUCUCGGGCGUGGCACUGAAAGGAGGCAUUUUGUAGAAAGAGUCCAAAAAGUCUGGACCCUUUGACCUGAUAGUCCCACUCUUGGGAGUUUCUAUCUUAAUUUGAAGGAAACAAAAACAUCACCCCCAUGAAGGUGGGGAAUGAAUAGGUUCAUGAUGUGUGUUUGCUUGAUGGAAUAUUAUGCCACUAAUAAAAAUAAUCAUCAGAAGGAAAGCAGCUGCAUAAAAAUAUGUUUUCGCCUUCGGUGGAAAGAGCAGCGUGAAAAUGAUGUGUUAUUUUUAUUCCAAGUCUGGACUGGGCUGCCAGUCACCAAGGCAAGUGCUUUAGCUGCCCUAUCUCAUUUCAUUCUCCUGGCAGACCCACAAGGUUGGGCAUGGUAUACUCUCAUUCUGGAGAUGAGGAAACUGAGGCCCUGAGGGGCUAGUGGUGUGUCUGAAGUCAGCCAGCUAGUGCAGGGUGGAGCUGAGGCAAACCCAGGAGGCUAGUCACCAGCACACUGUGCUGCAGAGGUUUUGAGCCUGAGGUGAUGGAGUUAUUUCUCCAAAUUAAAAAAUGAACGAAAGGAAAGACAUGGGUCUGGGUCUCGGGGAAGCUCAGAGGCUGCUGGCUUAGGGAGGCCCAAAGCAAGGCCUACAGUCCUAGGAAGGAGA